CCCUGCCAUUUGUACACACCGCCCGUCGCUGCUACCGAUUUUGAGUGGUCCGGUGAACCUUCUGGACUGUGCCGGGGCUUGACUCCGGCGUGGGAAAUUAAGUAAACCUUAUCACUUAGAGGAAGCAG
rnacentral:rRNA from 1 species